UACGGAGGGUGCGAGCGUUGUCCGGAAUCACUGGGCGUAAAGGGCGCGUAGGCGGCCUGUCGCGUCGGGAGUGAAAGCCCACUGCUUAACGGUGGGUCUGCUUCCGGUACGGGCGGGCUGGAGUAUGGCAGGGGAGACUGGAAUUCCUGGUGUAGCGGUGGAAUGCGCAGAUAUCAGGAGGAACACCGGUGGCGAAGGCGGGUCUCUGGGCCAUUACUGACGCUGAGGAGCGAAAGCGUGGGGAGCGAACAGG
rnacentral:rRNA from 1 species